rnacentral:lncRNA from 7 species
GUACGCUUAACACGACUCAUGAAUAUGGUUGGACGCAUGCGUGAGCGCGUCUGUCUGCAGCCUGCUGCUGCAUCUGCAUGAACCGAGUUUAUAUCUCUGGAGAAAGCAGCGCAGCGCCAAGUCUAUGGCAGCCCAACAGGCAACAGCACCAUAUGCAUGUCAGCAUGUCGCCACUCGCCAUGGCAUCCCAACAGGCAACAGCACCAUAGAUCCUUGGUGCGGCGCUCUGCCUC